UUUAGAGGCAAACAGCAAACCAACGCGGACAUUUUCCUCCUCCAGGAAAACACUGUCCUGAAGACAGGAGGGAUCCUGCAGAACGGCAAGGAAAGGAAGGAAACAAAUGAAGGAAAAUCAGGAAGGAGCAGAGAUGCUGAAUUACUGAUGGCUGAUUAAGCUCCACCUACUGUUGUGUUGAUGGUGUCGUUGAUGCGGCUGGUCGGACCUGUUCGAGCAGUGUCUGGGGUUCCCUCCGUUCGACUCUCCUGCAGGGUAAAGUGAGCAGCAUGUUGUCGAGCAGCAGAGCGACACAGACCACCACCAGCACCAGUCUGGGAGAACCUCGACUCUGGAGCAGCCACGCCAUCUCUGCACAGACAGAAGCACCAACAUCCUUCAGAACAGAGAACAUUAAC